CCUACGGGAGGCAGCAGUGGGGAAUAUUGCGCAAUGGGCGAAAGCCUGACGCAGCGACGCCGCGUGGGGGAUGACGGCCUUCGGGUUGUAAGCCUCUUUCAGCAGGGACGAAGCGAAAGUGACGGUACUUGCAGAAAAAGCACCGGCCAACUACGUGCCAGCAGCCGCGGUAAU
rnacentral:rRNA from 1 species